UAGAAAAAUAAGCUAAGAAAAGCUUUUGGACUCAUAAUCCAAAUAUAGUUAAAAUCUUUUUUCU
rnacentral:tRNA from 1 species